rnacentral:rRNA from 1 species
GACGGAGGAUGCAAGCGUUUAUCCGGAAUGAUUGGGCGUAAAGCGUCCGCAGGUGGCAGUUCAAGUCUGCUGUCAAAGACCGGGGCUUAACUUCGGAAAGGCAGUGGAAACUGAACAGCUAGAGUAUGGUAGGGGCAGAGGGAAUUCCUGGUGUAGCGGUGAAAUGCGUAGAGAUCAGGAAGAACAUCGGUGGCGAAGGCGCUCUGCUGGACCAUAACUGACACUCAGGGACGAAAAGCUAGGGGAGCGAAUGGG